UACGGAGGGGGCAAGCGUUAUCCGGAUUUACUGGGUGUAAAGGGAGCGUAGGUGGCUGUGCAAGUCAGAUGUGAAAGCCCAGGGCUCAACCCUGGGACUGCAUUUGAAACUGCAGAGCUAGAGUGCAGGAGAGGUAAGUGGAAUUCCUAGUGUAGCGGUGAAAUGCGUAGAUAUUAGGAGGAACACCAGUGGCGAAGGCGGCUUACUGGACUGUAACUGACACUGAGGCUCGAAAGCGUGGGGAGCAAACAGG
rnacentral:rRNA from 1 species